rfam:Hyphomonas neptunium ATCC 15444, complete genome.
AGAUGGUUCCGGGCCCCUCUGGCGUUUGCGGCGGCAAGCGCGAUGUCGGACACCCCA